rnacentral:rRNA from 1 species
GUGGGGAAUCUUGCGCAAUGGGCGAAAGCCUGACGCAGCCAUGCCGCGUGAAUGAUGAAGGUCUUAGGAUUGUAAAAUUCUUUCACCGGGGACGAUAAUGACGGUACCCGGAGAAGAAGCCCCGGCUAACUUCGUGCCAGCAGCCGCGGUAAUACGAAGGGGGCUAGCGUUGCUCGGAAUUACUGGGCGUAAAGGGAGCGUAGGCGGAUAGUUUAGUCAGAGGUGAAAGCCCAGGGCUCAACCUUGGAAUUGCCUUUGAUACUGGCUAUCUUGAGUAUGGAAGAGAUAUGUGGAAAUCCGAGUGUAGAGGUGAAAUUCGUAGAUAUUCGGAAGAACACCAGUGGCGAAGGCGACAUACUGGUCCAUUACUGACGCUGAGGCUCGAAAGCGUGGGGAGCAAACAGGAUUAGAAACCCUGGUAGUCC